CUGGUCUGCUUACUGUAGAGACAGACAUUACCUGUUCAAGACUGACACCCAGCUCAACCUUCCUAGUUUCUGCUUGCAGUGUUCUACAUGUGAUCCCUAUGGUGACCUAUGGCCUGGAGACAGGUGAUCUGAAUGCUGUCUGUCCCCACAGCCUUUGCAGCUAUUUCCGUGCAGUGGAGCUUCUCUUGUCUGCCUGGGAGAUGUUUGUCCUGAAGCAUUUGCUGAUGACAUCAGAGUGCUUUUCCCAGGCUCCUCGACCCUGGGCUACAGAGUUGAGCUAACACAACUAAUAAAAACUCGGAGAGAGAAACUGGGGUUCAACCUGGAGAUCCACAAGCAAAGCAGUCAGCCACUGGCUCUUACCUCGACCUCAGUCCGAAAAUGGCGAUCUUGCCUCCGGGAAUCUCAGAAUGAGACUAUGACUGAGAGCUGUCUUCUGUUUUAUAAUCCUCUCUGGUUCUGGGAUUAAAGGUCCGAUGUUCUGGAAAACUGUGUCGGCUCCAGAGACCUCAGGGUUCCCUGGGAAGCUGUGCCAAGCCCCGGACUUCCAACUGGGAUUGUAUCAGCAAGCUUGUCCCACAAAAUAAAACUACG